CAACUCAAGAGUACGUCUUUCCAGUUCCUUUUCCUUCCUCCCCAUGCUUCUAGGAACACGUAUUCAACACUUUCCAUGUGGCAAUCAUUGUGUGACGUUCUGGAGCAUGGAGAGGAAAGUGGAGGAGAGGAAGAAGGAAAGAAAUGCAAAGGUUCCAGAAUUUACAAGACAUCCUUUGUUCUCAAGUAGCUCCCACUCCUUUGGGGAAGGGAGGGAGAACAACUCCAUAGCAGUGUGAUGUUAUUAUUAGAGAAUGGACAAGAUAAUGUGGGAACAGAGAAAGGAGUGCCUCAUUUUGAGAGUAGGAGCCAUAAUGUCUGAGAAAAAGCAGCCGAGUCUUAAGAAGUAGAGGUGCUUCCAGUGGAUUAAGGAAAGGAGGGAAAGCUAUUCCAGGCAUCUACAAAGACCUCAAGGGACUACCAGGGAUGCAGAGGGAAAGAAACACUUACCAGGACUGGCCUUGGUGCUUUUUUGCUCCAAGCAAGCAAACAAGAACAAGAUUAUAGUGGCCCUGAAUGGAAUCAGAAAUGGAAGGGAGCUCUUCUCCCCCCACAAGAGGCUUCUUAAAGAAAAACAACUUUAAGAUGCAAUCUGUAUCAGGGAAGCCACUCGACACCUGCUAGAAGUUCCUGUGAUUUUGCAAUCCAUCCUGAGCAUCAACACCUGAAGAUAUAGCUGCUGAACUUGUUUCCUCCUGGACAUGACUAACUGCCUGGUUUUGAAUCCAGGAAGCUGGAGGCACCCUAGACUCAAUGACAGACACACAGGAGAUGCCAAGGGCAGCUUUCAAUGUGAGCCUGAAGUUUUACAUUUUAAGAAGACAAAUGAACAGCGUUACCUGUUUACUUCAAUAUUGACAAAGGAAAAGCCCGUGGCCCCCUUGCACCUGUUAAUACUUGCUCCUUAUACGGAUGUGACCCAUGCAGCUGCUCAUUUCAAUUAGCCCAGGGCCAGUCUUGGCAUUUACCCACAGAAACAAUACUGCACAAAGAAGUGCCUCUGUGCAUUCAUACUGGCAUUCUUCCAAGUCACACUCAGCUUCUGCACAUUUUCCCAACCUGUCUCCCUGAGUGUAAGUCCCUAAAAGCUAAAUGCUGGAUGCUUAAGUCCCUAAAAACUAAAGGAGUCCUUCUGUUUCACUUAAUGAUACCUUUUAAUUUUCCUUUAAACCAUCAUUUCUCCUUUGCACCUCCCUUUUAUUUUUUUUUUCUCAACCUUCAUCCUUCUCCUUUGAGACACUCAGAAAUGACAUUGUUCUCACUUUUUAGCAACAAUGACAAAAAAGAUGAAAGAACAUUGAUGUUAAGAAUUCUCCUUAUUUGUCAAAUCAAAAAAAAAAAAAUCUAAAUAAAAAGUGAUUGCCCA